rnacentral:tRNA from 1 species
CGUGAGGUCGAUGGUUCGAGUGGCUCAAGGGGCUCCCCUGCUAAGGGAGUAGAUCGCGAACGCGGUGCGAGGGUUCGAAUCCCUUCUUCUCUGCCA